rnacentral:rRNA from 1 species
UACGGGGGGGGUAAGCGUUGUUCGGAAUUACUGGGCGUAAAGGGCUCGUAGGCGGCCAACUAAGUCGGACGUGAAAUCCCUCAGCUUAACUGGGGAACUGCGUCCGAUACUGGAUGGCUUGGAUUUGGGAGAGGGAUGCGGAAUUCCAGGUGUAGCGGUGAAAUGCGCAGAUAUCAGGAGGAACACCGGUGGCGAAGGCGGGUCUCUGGGCCGAUACUGACGCUGGAGGAGCGAAAGCGUGGGGAGCGAACAGG